rnacentral:lncRNA from 1 species
UAUAAAUUGUCAGUCAUUUUUAUGUAUUUAGAGUAGUAUAUUAUGUACGACAAUAUAGUGUAAAUCUACCCUUGUCUUAUUCCUCCACGUUAAUCCUUUUUCUCUCAGUCGUCCUGUUAUCGUCACAAGAUUAAUGUACUUAAAUCACGUGGAAAAGAAAGGAAAGGUGUUUUUCAAUUGAAAGGACAUAUUUUAUACACCUCUUAUUUUGACUGAUGAGAGAGGACAAGAGCUUAGGCUUAUAUGAGUGCUUGAGUUUGGAAACAGAUUCAAUGACUGUAGUAGGAAGAUUAUUUGAAGGGGAAAAUGGAUUUAAGGCCUAAAUCAUUGGCUGGAACUACAAUGACUUGAUUUAUACAACACUCAACAACAACAAAAAAGUAUAUGUCAUACUUUGAUGUAUCCUUUGACUGUCUGUACUAGAGCUUAUUUAAAAAACGUAUAAACAAAGUUGAGUGCCGUCAUCAAGGACGGAAAUGUAUAAGUUUUAAGACUUAUAUGCAAGGCAUAACUGGACCAGACUGAGACUGAACUGGACGGGACUACAUUCUUAAAUAAGG